UCUUUUUCUCUCACGCCUCUUCCAUUCUCUGUUCUCUCCUCCCCGAAGUCCCCUCGUCCUCUCUGCAACUCCCUUUCGCUCACCUUCCCUUCUCUUCUCAAUCUUCGAUCUUCUGAAUUGCAAGGCACCACAAGGAUGCCUUUCUAUUGUUAUCUGUCUGAAUUGCUUCUAAGUUUCCCCUUGAAACUCCCUCCCUCUAGUUUUUCUCUCAGAAUAUUUCUAGUGCUCUCAAUGUGUCUCAAUUUUCAACUUCUACAGAGUGAGUUUGAGGGAAACUUCCAAUUUGGCUAAGUGGCAAUGUAGGAGUGGAAGGCUGGGAAGCGGCAUUGUUAUUUUUGUUAUUUUUAUUUUUGUAAUUUGCUGUGUAGGAUGUAGCCCUGUACUCCAUCCCCUGCAACAUCUGUUUGUACACUUGUUUGUACUUGGGGCCUUUUAUUUCUUGUAUGUAAAUCAUGUUAGUUCUUUGUACGCACAUCACUUUGUGUCAUGCGCUGCACAUGUGUGCCUGGCCCUGUAAUUGGACGCAUGUG